rnacentral:rRNA from 1 species
GCCGUAAACGAUGGGCACUAGGUGUUGGUGGUAUCAACCCCGCCAGUGCCGAAGCUAACGCAUUAAGUGUCCCGCCUGGGGAGUACGGCCGCAAGGCUAAAACUCAAAGGAAUUGACGGGGGCCCGCACAAGCAGCGGAGCGUGGGGUUUAAUUCGACGCAACGCGAAGAACCUUACCAGGACUUGACAUGAUCAGGACAGCGGCGGAAACGUCGCCUCCCCGCAAGGGGCCUGACCACAGGUGUUGCAUGGCUGUCGUCAGCUCGUGUCGUGAGACGUU